GCGUCGGUGGUAUAACGUAGUUAGCAUAGCUGCCUUCCAAGCAGCUGACCUGGGUUCGACUCCGGCGACGCA